rnacentral:rRNA from 1 species
UACGUAGGGUGCAAGCGUUAAUCGGAAUUACUGGGCGUAAAGCGUGCGCAGGCGGUUUGUAAGUUUGUCGUGAAAUCCCCGGGCUCAACCUGGGAAUGGCAUUUGAUACUCGAGGGCUUGAGUACGGGAGAGGAGAGUGGAAUUCCCAGUGUAGAGGUGAAAUUCGUAGAUAUUGGGAAGAACACCGGUGGCGAAGGCGGCUCUCUGGACCGUAACUGACGCUGAGGCGCGAAAGCGUGGGGAGCAAACAGG